rnacentral:lncRNA from 1 species
AAGAAGAGACCAAAUAACAGUCUGUUCUAGUUUGUCCUGAUUUUGGCAGCACAAUUAUUGGUUGGUUUUGUUUUGUUUUUAUCAUCACUAUCCAAAUCACACUUCACUUCACAUGCGAUAUGCCUUUGGUCCCUUGACUGAUACACUGGCUACUACUUCCCAACACACUCCAUGUCUCCUCGUGACUUCUCAUUUCUUUUUCAACCCUCAAAAACUUUGCAUUAAAGUAUGAACUGUAUUCAUUAAGAAACUGUAUAUGAUCAACAAGUUUAUGUGUUUAAAAUAAAAAAAAGGAAUAAGGUAGUCUCGACGAUAACUGUUGUAUUUUUGGUAAGUUUCAAUGUUUCAGGAGAUAUUGGCAACAAAGGUAAGAGAUGUAUCGAUUGCUUAUCCACCGAACAUGACUCACCACAUUAGAGAGCCAAAUCAGACAGAGAUUUCGACCAAAUUUACCAAAGAAACACAUUUUACCAUUUAUCUUUGCACACAUGUGAUGAUGAUCAAGUUGUGCUGGUGCCAGAUAGAACGGACCGGAUCCCACCAAUCAUAUAUCAAACGAGCGAGGGACAUUUUCGCACUUUCAAAUAUCUCUUUGGCCAUAUAUAUAAAGACGAAGGCAUUACACACUCGAAGAAUGUUAUC